rnacentral:rRNA from 1 species
ACUCCUACGGGAGGCAACAGUGGGGAAUAUUGGACAAUGGGCGCAAGCCUGAUCCAGCCAUGCCGCGUGAGUGAUGAAGGCCCUAGGGUUGUAAAGCUCUUUCACCGGUGAAGAUAAUGACGGUAACCGGAGAAGAAGCCCCGGCUAACUUCGUGCCAGCAGCCGCGGUAAUACGAAGGGGGCUAGCGUUGUUCGGAUUUACUGGGCGUAAAGCGCACGUAGGCGGACUAUUAAGUCAGGGGUGAAAUCCCGGGGCUCAACCCCGGAACUGCCUUUGAUACUGGUAGUCUUGAGUUCGAGAGAGGUGAGUGGAAUUCCGGGUGUAGAGGUGAAAUUCGUAGAUAUUCGGAGGAACACCAGUGGCGAAGGCGGCUCACUGGCUCGAUACUGACGCUGAGGUGCGAAAGCGUGGGGAGCAAACAGGAUUAGAAACCCGGGUAGUCCCAUGAG